rnacentral:lncRNA from 1 species
AAUUUUGCGUGUAGGUAGAAACCUAAACUUCAUCCAACAAAUUAAGUUGGUAUCUUUAAAUAAAAAAUAUGAAAUAUGAAGAAAACCAAAUGAAGUAUCUAAAUAUGGCCUUGUGGGCCGACAAAAAAAAAAAAAUAUGGCCUUGUGGAAAAAUACCUCGUGAGAAAAAUUAUAUUAAAAAAAAAAAAAAAAAAAGAAGAGAAAAUGGAUUUAGGGUUUUAGGUGAAAUAUAAAUAUUUCAUAUGCUUACUGACAGAAGCAAGCCCUCAUGCUCUUCGACACACCCACUCUCUCUAUUUACUUCCAUCCAUCAAUCUCAAUCUAUUUUUAUUUUUCUUUUGACUUUUUUUUUUUUUUUUUUUAACUUUUGCUUGCUCUAUAUUCUUUCCAAAGUUUUUUGAUCAAUAUAUAUAUUGACUAAGGCCAAAUAAUUUUGCUUUUGCGCAAAUAUUCUGGUUAGUUCUCCAUAUUAAUUAAUUACGUUGAAUAUCUAUGCUACAACCUUCUGACCAUUACUUGAUACAAAGAAGUUGAGAUAUGCGACCUUUAAUAUAUUGGUAAGUAUAAGAUACUCGGUAUAAGAAUUAAGAGAUAUGACUAAUGACUGGAAUAAGACUAAAUAUUUUGAAGGACGAUAUGACCUAAUAGGAAAAAAUAAUGUUUUAAUAAGAGGAACUCCACAAGAAUUGUAUAAAAGGAGAAGAGACAACACUCUGGUUUUCGGGUGUUCGGUUCGUGAAACCGACACGUGAGGUUGAUUUAGGUAACAUUUGUCGUUAACAUGUGAAUCCAACAUCUUAAUUUUAAUCAAAUAAGAAUAGCAAAUAAUGGUAUCUUUGUUUUUCUUUCAUAGUGAUCUAAGUAAUCAAUUUUGACUGCUUAACCAAUCACAAGUCAAAUCUUGAGUAGUUGGCUUGGCUUGGCUCCAGAUUUCAAGUGUUUGCUGCCUUGCUGCCAUCUGCUCAGGCUUAUAUAUUACUGUAUAGC